CCUACGGGUGGCAGCAGUGGGGAAUAUUGCACAAUGGGCGCAAGCCUGAUGCAGCCAUGCCGCGUGUGUGAAGAAGGCCUUCGGGUUGUAAAGCACUUUCAGCGGGGAGGAAGGCGGUGAGGUUAAUAACCUCAUCGAUUGACGUUACCCGCAGAAGAAGCACCGGCUAACUCCGUGCCAGCAGCCGCGGUAAUACGGAGGGUGCAAGCGUUAAUCGGAAUUACUGGGCGUAAAGCGCACGCAGGCGGUCUGUCAAGUCGGAUGUGAAAUCCCCGGGCUCAACCUGGGAACGGCAUUCGAAACUGGCAGGCUAGAGUCUUGUAGAGGGGGGUAGAAUUCCAGGUGUAGCGGUGAAAUGCGUAGAGAUCUGGAGGAAUACCGGUGGCGAAGGCGGCCCCCUGGACAAAGACUGACGCUCAGGUGCGAAAGCGUGGGGAGCAAACAGGAUUAGAUACCCGGGUAGUC
rnacentral:rRNA from 1 species